CGCUGGCGGUGUGCUUCACACAUGCAAGUCGAACGAGGUAGCAAUACCUAGUGGCGGACGGUGAGUAACGCGUGGGAAUCUGCCUUUAGAUGGGGGAUAACGGGUCGAAAGACUCGCUAAUACCGCAUAUGACGAAAGUUGAAAGGAGUAAUCCGUCUAAAGAUGAGCCCGCGUCCGAUUAGCUAGUUGGUAGAGUAAAAGCCUACCAAGGCGACGAUCGGUAGCUGGUCUGAGAGGAUGAUCAGCCACAAUGGGACUGAGACACGGCCCAUACUCCUACGGGAGGCAGCAGUGGGGAAUUUUACGCAAUGGCGAAAGCCUGACGUAGCGACACCGCGUGAGCGAAGAAGCCCCUUGGGGUGUAAAGCUCUGUCAGCUGGAACGAAAAAAAUGACGGUACCAGCAGAGGAAGCAUCGGCUAACUACGUG
rnacentral:rRNA from 1 species